ensembl:lncRNA LINC02790 long intergenic non-protein coding RNA 2790
AGAUCACAAUGUGGGAGUCCACUGCAAUAAUCCAGGAGAGAAAUCAUGUGAGCUUGAGAAGGAAUCAGAUUCUGCAUAUAUUUCCAAGUUAACAUGAACAAGAUUUUCUGAAAGACUGCUAUGGAGUCUGAGAAAAAAUGUCAAAGGUAGUGCCAAAAUUGUCACUUAAAGAACUGCAGGAAUGGAGUUGGCAUUUACAGAAUUUGGAAGAGAAGCAGGUUUAGUGAUAAAGACCAGAAGCACAGAGCUAAGCAUAUUAAAUAUUGAGGACAUGAAGAGGAAAGAACUGACAGAGGAGGUGAAGAAAGGUGAUCAGGAAGAGCCAUCAAAGUGUUAUCCUGGAAUUCAAGUGAAGACAGUGUUUCAAAGUGGAAAUGAACAGUGUCCUGUAACCCUCAGAGUGAGACUAGAGUCAGAAUGCAGGCUUUUCUCAUUUGAAAUCUCAAGGUAAGUCCAGGUCCUUACCUCCACCUAAAAGUUCUGCCAUCAAGGAACAUCUGCUCAUUAUCUUCUGUUCACACAUCAAAUGACUUCAAUGUGAUCCCUGGAUGUUCUCCAAAGAGCUGAAGGGAAAUAAAUAUUCUUUCUUUAUCACCAAAUACUUCAACUGCAGAGUGAUUGUGCUACCAAGGCCUGAAACUUCGGAAAAACCUGCAUAACACAAAAUAUAAAAUAUGCCACAGAGAGGAUCCAGAGAGCCCAUCUCCGGUCAGUUAUCUGUAUUUGUAUGUCAACUACAGCAUCAAAAAGCAUAGGCAUGGAUACUAAGGACCCCCUCUGUACACCAACGCCAGUCCAAAGGACAGUGUGUCACUGUGAACUGGAAAUUCAUCUCUCUUCUUCAAUUUUUUUCUACCUACUUUAUGCUUUAUCUCUAAGUUGAGGCUGUUUAUGGCCUCAUCCUCAAUUACCUUGUCCCUCAUUACUCCCAGUUAAUGGAGAUUAAGCUUUGUAUCAUGACUUCCUAACUAAAAUUGAAAUCACAAGACAUCACAUAAAUAAAGUUACAAAUGGAUUAGAUAAACAUUCA